UACGUAGGGUGCAAGCGUUAAUCGGAAUUACUGGGCGUAAAGCGUGCGCAGGCGGUUCGCUAAGACAGAUGUGAAAGCCCCGGGCUCAACCUGGGAACCGCGCUUGAGACUGGCAUGCUCGAGUUCGGGAGAGGAUGGUGGAAUUCCCAGUGUAGAGGUGAAAAUUCGUAGAUAUUGGGAAGAACACCGAUGGCGAAGGCAGCCAUCUGGACCGACACUGACGCUGAGGCGCGAAAGCGUGGGGAGCAAACAGG
rnacentral:rRNA from 1 species